AGGAGCUUGAAGUUUGGCGGGAUUGGUUCCUGCAUAAUCAUUUGAGAGAAAGGAGGGUCAGUACAGAUAUCCUCACCGUAAGUAGUGGGAGCAUGGCGGAGCUCUUCGAUCCACCGAUUCAUCUCUUGGAAUCUUUGAUCCAGGAGGUCCUCUCGACUGCGAGUCUCGAGGAUCUUCUGGUAGAACGGAGGUAGGGACCCUCCGGGGGUGGAAUCGUGAUCGGACGGAGGGCUCUCCACCUUCUGCUUCCCUUUUCUGGGGAAGACAGGGCGACUGGCCCA
rnacentral:lncRNA from 1 species